rnacentral:rRNA from 1 species
AUUGAACGCUGGCGGCAGGCCUAACACAUGCAAGUCGAGCGGAUGAAGGGAGCUUGCUCCUGGAUUCAGCGGCGGACGGGUGAGUAAUGCCUAGGAAUCUGCCUGGUAGUGGGGGAUAACGUCCGGACACGGGCGCUAAUACCGCAUACGUCCUGAUGGAGAAAGUGGGGGAUCUUCGGACCUCACGCUAUCAGAUGUGCCUAGGUCGGAUUAGCUAGUUGGUGUGGUAAAGGCCUACCAAGGCGACGAUCCGUAACUGGUCUGAGAGGAUGACCAGUCACACUGGAACAGAGACAGGGUCCAGACACCGACGGGAGGCAGCAGUGGGGAAUAUUGGACAAUGGGCGAAAGCCUGAUCCAGCAAUGCCGCGUGUGUGAAGAAGGUCUUCGGAUUGUAAAGCACUUUAAGUUGGGAGGAAGGGCAGUAAGUUAAUACCUGGAUGUAUUGACGGUAACAACAGAAUAAGCACCGGCUAACUUCGUG